rnacentral:rRNA from 1 species
AUUAAACGCUGGCGGCAUGCCUUACACAUGCAAGUCGAACGGCAGCACGGGGGGAACCCUGGUGGCGAGUGGCGAACGGGUGAGUAAAGCAUCGGAACGUGCCCUGGAGUGGGGGAUAACGUAGCGAAAGUUACGCUAAUACCGCAUAUUCUGUGAGCAGGAAAGCAGGGGAUCGCAAGACCUUGCGCUCUGGGAGCGGCCGAUGUCGGAUUAGCUAGUUGGUGGGGUAAAGGCCUACCAAGGCGACGAUCCGUAGCGGGUCUGAGAGGAUGAUCCGCCACACUGGAACUGAGACACGGUCCAGACUCCUACGGGAGGCAGCAGUGGGGAAUUUUUGGACAAUGGGGGGCAACCCUGAUCCAGCCAUGCCGCGUGAGUGAAGAAGGCCUUC